UUAAAUUAGCUAAGGUUAUGGAUACACACAGCCUAUUUUAAAUGCAGUUUAAAAUUGAAACACAGAUUUACAAGCCAAUUUAACUGGUUUGCCUCGACCUUUCCAGCCAGGAAUGGACUGAGGGAACCCACUGACUCCAGAGAGGAGAGUGCUUCAGGCAGGAGUAACGAGCUAGAGAGAAGGACAUGGCCCCUACAUGAAAAUGUAACAAGUGAAGGACACCUAUGCUGCAGGGAAAUCUCUGAAUGAAAGAAAGCUUGUAUAACACUGCCAGCACAGAACAGAACUGGAAAGUACCCA